rnacentral:lncRNA from 1 species
AAGCGUGCACGUCGGUUGUGUCGACUCGUGGCCGCCUCUAGGCUGCUUUUUAUGUGGCGACUCAACCCUAAACAUGAUGUCAUCAUGCAGGAGGGCGGGGCAGAACGCCCAGCCUACCCGAGGGCAGGAGCCCCAGGUCCAAGACAGGAUCUCACUUAUAUUGCCCAGUCUAACAUCCAGCUCUGGACUCAGUGAAAUAUCCCACUCCAACUCCAAGCACCUGUAAGUGCAGAGAAGCCUGACUGUUGUGGGAGGUGAUGUAUCUAAGAUGUACAAGGAUGUGCACUUUACCUGUGAUCUGAUGGCAUUUGCCAAGGAUGGGAAAGCCAGAAGAACCCACCUGACUCUUCGCAGGAAGUUUAUUAGGAAGACAGCCUACUUGUGAGCCCCUCAGGGAUGGCCCCCACUUCUGACAGGACCUCAGAAGACACCAAGAGUUCAGUGGACCUUCCCCUUGAAGGACACACAGAGUCCCUUCUCUUUGGACAAGAAUUUAAGGAAUGAAACUUUUCCUCAGUGCUCCAGUUAUGCUUCAAGAAUCUUCUGGGAUCCAGGCAUGAGUGGUACACACCUUUAAUCCCAGCACUAGAGAGGCAGAGGUAGAUGAUCUCUGAGGUCAAGGAG